ANUUUAACGCUGGCGGCAGGCUUAACUCAUGCAAGUCGANCGGUAACAGGGGAGCUUGCUCCUGCUGACGAGCGGCGGACGGGUGAGUAACGCGUAGGAAUCUACCUAGUAGAGGGGGACAACAUGUGGAAACGCAUGCUAAUACCGCAUACACCCUAAGGGGGAAAGGAGGGGACUCUUCGGAGCCUUCCGCUAUUAGAUGAGCCUGCGUGAGAUUAGCUAGUUGGUAGGGUAAAGGCCUACCAAGGCGACGAUCUCUAACUGGUCUGAGAGGAUGACCAGUCACACUGGGACUGAGACACGGCCCAGACUCCUACGGGAGGCAGCAGUGGGGAAUAUUGGACAAUGGGCGGAAGCCUGAUCCAGCCAUGCCGCGUGUGUGAAGAAGGCCUUAGGGUUGUAAAGCACUUUCAGGGGUGAGGAAGGGUAACUGGCUAAUAUCCAGUUAUCUUGACGUUAGCCCCAGAAGAAGCACCGGCUAACUCUGUGCCAGCAGCCNCGGGUUAAUA
rnacentral:rRNA from 1 species